CGCUAACACUCCUACGGGAGUAGCAGUAGGGAAUAUUGGUCAAUGGGCGAAAGCCUGAACCAGCCAUGCCGCGUGUCAGAUGAAGGUCCUCUGGAUUGUAAAUGACUUUUCUACGGGAAGAAUGAGCCGUCUGCGGACGGAAGUUGACGGUACCGUAGGAAUAAGCACCGGCUAACUACGUGCCAGCAGCCGCGGUAAUACGUAGGGUGCAAGCGUUGUCCGGAUUUACUGGGUUUAAAGGGUACGUAGGCGGUUGUGCCAAGUCUGGGGUGAAAGUUUGCAGCUCAACUGUAAAAAUUGCCUUGGAUACUGGUCGGCUAGAGUAGUGGAGCGGUGGCUGGAAUUUAUAGUGUAGCGGUGAAAAUGCUUAGAUACUAUGAGGAACACCAAUUGCGAAGGCAGGUCACUGGUCACUAACUGACGCUGAGGUACGAAAGUGUGGGGAUCAAACAGGAUUAGAUACCCUGGUAG
rnacentral:rRNA from 1 species